rnacentral:rRNA from 1 species
GACGAAGGAUCCAAGCGUUAUCCGGAUUUAUUGGGUUUAAAGGGUGCGUAGGCGGAUUGAUAAGUCAGUGGUGAAAGCCUGCAGCUUAACUGCAGAACUGCCAUUGAUACUGUCAAUCUUGAAUAUGUUUGAUGUGGGCGGAAUAUGACAUGUAGCGGUGAAAUGCUUAGAUAUGUCAUAGAACACCGAUUGCGAAGGCAGCUCACAAAGCCAUCACUGACGCUGAGACACGAAAGCGUGGGUAGCAAACAGG